CAAGAAAAGUAGUCUACCACAACAUCACAAUAACAACAUGUUCUAAAUGUUCGUUGUUACUUACAGUAUUCGACAACGAGCAAAUAAUGUGCGUUGUAGUAAACCAUUUAACACCACACGCGUCAUUUGCACGUUGUUAAUUUGGUUAUCAACAACCUACUUUGCGUGUUGUUAUCUGCAAGUUGUCAAUUAAGUUAUCAACAAGCAGGUGUGCACGUUGUUGAAAAUUUCAGAAUGACAACAUGUUGCAAACGCUGUCAAAACUUUGAGAAAAAAAAAAAAAAAAAAUUGGUGAGGGGAGCUGUCCGUUUUUUUCUAAAUUUUAGGAGAAAUUUGAAAUUUGGUUGACCUAGCUUUUACAAAGCCACUAAACGCCCUAGUCGAAGCCAAAAGCUCGUCUCCCGCCACCAAAAGCUCUCGCCUCAGUCGACGGUGACCUUCAUAAUGUUCGACGGAGUCGGAGCCACCUAGUCGUUUCAGACUUCAAGCAGUCCUUCCCUCCCGCCAUCAACUCGUCUCCAGCGUCUCUCAGCUCAGCUCGGCUUCUCUGUCUUUGGUUCCCAAGAAGAUCAGCUCCCUUCGAUUCCUGCAAUGCUUCUCCGAUUCUGAUUACAGUAUACAGGGAUCCUGAACUGGUGAAAAGAAUUGGUGCUGCAACUGCUCUUGAAGUCCGAGCUACGGGCAUUCCUUAUGCAUUUGCUCCAUGCAUUGCGGGGAUGAUUACAAGAUCAAGGUGUGGAAUUAUAAGUUGCAUAGGUGCCUGUUUACUCUUCUUGGACACCUUGAUUACAUCCGUACUGUUCAAUUCCAUCAUGAGUACCCUUGGAUUGUGAGUGCCAGUGAUGACCAGACUAUCAGAAUAUGGAAUUGGCAGUCCCGGACUUGUAUUUCUGUGCUCACUGGACACAACCAUUACGUCAUGUGUGCCUUGUUCCAUCCCAAGGAGGAUCUUGUUGUCUCAGCAUCAUUGGAUCAAACUGUUCGUGUUUGGGAUAUUGGUGCACUCAGGAAGAAAACGGUUGCGCCUGCAGAUGACAUCCUAUGACUGAGUCAAAUGAAUGCAGAUUUCUUUGGUGGAGUUGAUGCUGUUGUUAAGUAUGUCUUGGAAGGCCAUGAUCGGGGUGUUAAUUGGGCCUCAUUCCAUCCUACACUCCCUCUGAUUGUGUCUGGAGCUGAUGAUCGACAAGUGAAACUUUGGCGAAUGAAUGUGCAAAAGUAGGUAAGAAUACAUGAGCAAAGUGUUGAUGGUGACAGAGGCUUGCUCAGGUUGAAGCAAAGCUUGAAGCUCUUUUAAAGGCCACUCAGGUUGAAGAAAAUGAUAAAUGCUACUUCUCAGUCACAACAAUCAAGUCGACCAAUCAAUGCUCCAAGCAAUGAUCUUGAAAAUAGAAGAUGUGCACUUUUGAAUUGGAACAAUUAUGAAGAAGAUGAAGUGGUGGCUGAAGGGAAGAUCUCUUCAACAAAU